rnacentral:lncRNA from 1 species
AUGCGAGGAGGACACAUGGAAGGAAGACGCCUGAUGUCCUGGUUCUUUGAUGUCUAUGCCCUGUUUCCUGUAUCUCACUGUCUGGCCUGCCUCCCCCUGCAGGGGUCUGAUGUUGGCAUGUAUAGGUUUCCUGUAUGUCACUGUUUGGCCUGCCUCCCCCUGCAGGGGUCUGAUGUUGGCAUGUAUAGGUUUGCUGUAUCUCACUGUCUGGCCUGCCUCCCCCUGCAGGGGUCUGAUGUUGGCAUGUAUAGGUUUCCUGUAUCUCACUGUCUGGCCUGCCUCCCCCUGCAGGGGUCUGAUGUUGGCAUGUAUAGGUUUCCUGUAUCUCACUGUCUGGCCUGCCUCCCCCUGCAGGGGUCUGAUGUUGGCAUGUAUAGGUUUCCUGUAUCUCACUGUCUGGCCUGCCUCCCCCUGCAGGGGUCUGAUGUUGGCAUGUAUAGGUUUCCUGUAUCUCACUGUCUGGCCUGCCUCCCCCUGCAGGGGUCUGAUGUUGGCAUGUAUAGGUUUCCUGUAUGUCACUGUCUGGCCUGCCUCCCCCUGCAGGGGUCUGAUGUUGGCAUGUAUAGGUUUCCUGUAUCUCACUGUCUGGCCUGUCUCCCCCUGCAGGGGUUUGAUGUUUGCAUGUAUAGGUUUCCUGUAUCUCACUGUCUGGCCUGCCUCCCCCUGCAGGGGUCUGAUGUUGGCAUGUAUAGGUUUCCUGUAUCUCACUGUCUGGCCUGUCUCCCCCUGCAGGGGUCUGAUGUUGGCAUGUAUAGGUUUCCUGUAUCUCACUGUCUGGCCUGCCUCCCCCUGCAGGGGUCUGAUGUUGGCAUGUAUAGGUUUCCUGUAUCUCACUGUCUGGCCUGCCUCCCCCUGCAGGGGUCUGAUGUUGGCAUGUAUAGGUUUCCUGUAUCUCACUGUCUGGCCUGCCUCCCCCUGCAGGGGUCUGAUGUUGGCAUGUAUAGGUUUCCUGUAUCUCACUGUCUGGCCUGCCUCCCCCUGCAGGGGUCUGGUGUUGGCAUGCCUGGGUUUCCUGGCUCAAAAGUUGCAGAUGACUACUACUUGGAACUUGGAACCUGUUCUUCGGAACCCGCCAUUCACUGGGUUCUGUGUAAGGUUAUCAUUACAUUCUAUAUUGUGAGAGACAACAGCCGUGAAGAGAAUUAG